AUUCCAGCUCCAAUAGCGUAUAUUAAAGUUGUUGCAGUUAAAAAGCUCGUAGUUGAAUUUCUGGUGGGCGCGCCGGUCUUCUUUUGUUGUACUGGGCGCAGUCCGCCAUCCUUGUGGAGAGGGCUCGCAUUGAGUUGUGGGUCGGAUCUGCAUCAUUUACUGUGAAAAAAUUAGAGUGUUUAAAGCAGGCUGUCGCUUGAAUACAUUAGCAUGGAAUAAUAAGAUAGGACUUCGGUCUAUUUUGUUGGUUGCGAACCGAGGUAAUGAUUAAUAGGGAUAGUUGGGGGUAUUCAUAUUUAAUUGUCAGAGGUGAAAUUCUUGGAUUUAUGAAAGAUGAACAACUGCGAAAGCAUUUACCAAGGAUGUUUUCAUCA
rnacentral:rRNA from 1 species